UACGGGGGGGGUAAGCGUUGUUCGGAUUCAUUGGGCGUAAAGGGCGCGUAGGCUGCGGGGCAAGUCGGGUGUGAAAUCUCAGAGCUCAACUCUGAAACUGCACUCGAUACUGCUUUGCUCGAGGACUGGAGAGGAGAUUGGAAUUCACGGUGUAGCAGUGAAAUGCGUAGAUAUCGUGAGGAAGACCAGUGGCGAAGGCGGAUCUCUGGACAGUUCCUGACGCUGAGGCGCGAAGGCCAGGGGAGCAAACGGG
rnacentral:rRNA from 1 species